GCUAGCUUUUGGGGUUGAGUUAGGCCCAAGGUUCAUUCUUUUCAUGGUAUCAGAGUCAGGCCCAUCCAAAUUAUUGUUACCGAUGUUGGGCCCCCAUUUAUGUUGUCCACGCUCCAGAGAUCUGGGCGUGAGGGGGGUGUUGAGUUGUCCCACAUCGGCGGGCUUNNNNNNNNNNNNNNNNNNNNNNNNNNNNNNNNNNNGAGGGGGUGUUGAGUUGUCCCACAUCGGAGGGAUUUGAGGUCUUUGGUCUCCUUAUAUGGCUUGGGCAAUCCUCACCUCGUAAGCUAGCUUUUGUGGUUGAGUUAGGCCAAGGUUCAUUAUUUUCAAUUUAUUAUAUUAAUUCAAAUCCUGUUUACUAAAACUGAUGCCAAAUACGCAAAUGAUGGGCCUGUUUUUAUAAUUACAAACUAACCAGAAUCAACUACUGAACUUACAACCAAUAAAACUAGCUGAAUCGAUUCUAUAUCUAUUGAAAUGAAUUACAGAAACUGAAUUAAGCUAUGCUAUAAUGCUGAAUGAGUUAGUAAGCUAAAACAGUCCAUACAAAUCAUAUAAUCCAAAUAUUUGUCUAACAAACAACAAAUACUAAACAUUAUUUCAAUUAGCAACUAUCAGAUGAUAAGACAAUCGAAAAUGAACUCGAAUCCAGCAGGUGCUUCUAUUUCCACUCAACUCAAAUUUACAUCAGGGUGAUUUAAAGGUGUACCUGGUAAAGCGAAAUAGAAGAAGAAGAGGAGAUCAGAAGCAAUACUCACAGCAGUAGUUCAGAGAUCAAUUUAAAUCCCAGCAGCAAUUAAUGAGUGAGUAACAAAGGUCCAACAAAGAUUUAGAAACCCAAAGGUGCUUGAAAAUCACACAGAAUGAUCAUAUCUACUCAAAACCAUCUCAAAUUAGCCCAAACCCACUCAAAAACAACUCAGUAAACCCCAGAAACUUCAGAAAUCAGAACUUAAACAUAGAAAAAUGCAAAUCAGCAACUGAAAAGCUGAAAUUCACCUAAAAGUUUAAUGGAACAGUAAAUGUUUUUGGAUUUUUGGAAGUUUAUGUUGUUUUUUUUUUUGUUUUCUACAUGAAGAAAGCUAAGAUCUAAGAGCAUUUUCUAAUCCGAAUUAGAAUUUCAGACCUCUAGAGCUUUAAAGAGAUUUUUUUGGGGGUGGGGGGUAUUGGGG
rnacentral:lncRNA from 1 species